rnacentral:lncRNA from 1 species
AACACCACAAAAGCCCUCAAAUUCAUGCUCAUAUGUCGAAGUGGCGCGAUA